AGAAUUGUAUAGUUCGUUCGGUGUGUUCAACGGGGUCACCUAGAAAAUGUGUUUAUUUCAAUCGUCCGUGUUGCCAACUAGAUCAUCUUGACGAAUCACCCACAUCUGCCAUUUGUAUUCUUUUGAAUCGAGAGGUUGCUAUUUUCAAGACAGCUGUCGUGGUACGUUUUUGUGUGUGAAGGAUGAAGUGACGCUUUUUUUGUGAAGCCGUAUAAUUUAGGCAAUCAUAGCAGCAAACAUGAGUGUAUAUUUUUCAAACGUGGCUCUUCCGAUGUUUGAUUCAUCGCUUGAAUAUGAUGAAGUAAAUGAAGCUGUGAGCAGUGAUAUGGAUGCAAUAUCUACUGAAAAUGAAUCAGAUGAAAAUAGUGACGCAAUGGAGCAUGAUGCUGAUGAUAACCAAACCUCUGAAGGGUCUUUCGUGGAUGGUUUAAGAAGAAGCACAACACGGCACGGACUGAAAGCGCGGAAACACAUGACAUACUGGUGAGCGGCUGCUCAAAACGAUGAGGCUCGAGGUGACAAUCACGGAUGAGGCCGGUAGAGAGGCUGCGCAAUGGCGGAUGAGGCCGGUAGAGCGGCUGCGCAAAGAAAGAAGCGGCAUGACCGGUACAACUCGGAAAUCGGUGAUUCGGUGAUUCGGUGAUUCGGUGAAUCUUGGAACGCAAAAUCUCUAUCUGCGGCUCGA